rnacentral:misc_RNA from 1 species
AGCUAAUCAAUCAUGAUCAAUUUUAAAUAUAUUGUUUUUUUUAUUAAAAAAAUGGAGGACAAAUAAUCAAUUGACCUUAAACUCAAAUUUCUUUUUUUUUUACAUUUUCCCACUCUUCUCCCUAAUGAGCCAGUUCUUGGUGUUCCUUUUUAGUUUUACUCCCUCACAAACAGGCUUACAUGUCUUUGGAACUAACUUGAUCUCUCUGAAUCAGAAAGAACCACAAACAUUCCGCGUCCAAUGACAGUAGCUAAUACCACCAAAAGCUCCGCGUAUAGUUUAAUGAUGUAUCUCGUUUGCAUUUUUACUUGAUAAAUCAUCUGACAUAUGGAGGAUCCAUAAACGCCCAGGUGAAGACUUGCUCAUAUUGAAUGGCUGCAUUUUCCCAGGAAUAGUCACGUCCCAUACCUCUCUUCAUCAAUCCCUCCCAAGAUGACUUAUGUUCUGUAUAAGUUCCAAUUGCCAGCUUCAGUGUAUCAAGCAACUUUUCACUCGUUAAAGGCGAAAAUGUCCACCCGGUGCCUUCACCUUUUCCUUCUUGAGCAUAUGGAUUAAAAUCCUUCACUGUGUCUCUUAGUCCCCCAGUGCUAUGAACAACAGGUAUGGUGCCAUAUCUCAUUGCAUACAAUUGGUUUAGGCCACAUGGUUCGAAUCUUGAGGGCAUCAGUAGUAUGUCACAUCCUGCUGUUAUCCUAUGAGAAACUGGAACAUUAAAUCCGACCCAAGCACGAAAUUUGUCUUUAAAAAGAUUCUCUGUAUGUCUCAUCCAGUCUUCAUAUUGUUUCUCACCAGAUCCAAGCAUUACAAAUUGGACAUCCUUCUGCAAAAGUUCUGGAAUUGCUGACAGGAUUAUGUCAACACCUUUCUGGUAGUCCAGCCUUCCAAUAAAUCCAAUCAGCGGACAAUCAGGUCGAAUUGGAAGGCCCAGUUCCUUUUGCAGAUCAGUCUUGCACUGAGCCUUUCCAGAGAGGUCAUUGAUGGAGUAAUGCGAAGCAAUAUGCUCAUCUGUCGACGGGUUCCAAUCAUUAACAUCUAUUCCAUUAGUAAUUCCAUUAAGAACUGACUGUCUACUGCUCAGCAGCUCAUGUAGCCCAUAUCCCCCUUCAGGAGUUGUUAUUUCCCAUGAGUAUCCCUGGCUAACUGUCAGUAUCCGAUCAGCAACUGAGAUUGCCCCUUUCAAAACAUUCACUGUUUCACCAGUGUCAAGCGCAUGGGCCCUUGCCCAUGUGGGAAAUAUCCAUUCAAGUGCUCCAUACCAUUGAGGAGGCAAUCCCAAAUUAUUGUAGGUUGCUGCAGGCUCCACUCCCUGAUGUGCAAUGUUGUGUAUUGCGACAAUACUACGAGCAUCCUUGUAAACACCAUAAGGACGAUACUUGGCUGCUAAAAGUAAAGGAACCAGGGAAGCAUGCCAAUCAUUAGCGAGAAACAAGCACUUCUCUCCAUAAGUGAACCCUCCCAGUGGAAGAACCAAUGGCGCUUCACAUGCUGCGUGAGAAAGCAAAGUGAAGCGAAACUGAUUAUCACCAAAUGCACCAUAAAUAUCACCAUAUGGCGUUCCAGGUCUGCGGUAAGAAGAGUGGUCCACAAAUACCCAAUCAACACCUGCCCUGUAUUCAUGGUAGAAGGCUACUUCCUGUGCAUCACCAAAGCAAUGGACCGUGGCCCGCACAUCAAGGUCAACAGCAUUGGCAUAUUUUUCAUCUGAAGGACCUCCAUUCAAAUACCUAGGUGAAACGACCAUUACACGAUGACCCCGAGCAGCUAGUGCCAUUGGCAAAGAGCCACAAACAUCUCCUAAUCCACCAGUCUUAGAAUAUGGAGCUGCUUCAGCAGUAACAAAAAUGAUAUUGAAAGUUAACUUGAUUGGAGUUUCCUCCAUCUCCUCAGCAUCUUCUCUCAAGUCAUCUCUAUCAUUGGCUACAAUAUCAUGAGAUUCUACCAUUGUUGCAUCACCUGCAACAGAAUGUGGAAUCAAUUGAAAACCAACAACAGAGCCGGAACCAUCUCUCUCAGGACCCAAAAGAAGCCCUUCUGACACUUUCUUAUUUUCAGCAAUUGAUGAACCAUCUGAAACACUACUUGUAACACACAAAGAUUGAACCUUUCUGUUUCUUCGUCCCUUCAACAACCAAGAAAAUCCCAAUCCCACUUGUCUCUCUACCCUCAAACCCUUCACAACUCUCCCUGACACACAUAAACAUGACUUAUUGCUAAGAUUUGUGGGUGUUCGAAGAGACCCCAUUUGGUAUUGACACCUGCUGUAAAAUCAAGAAUCAUGUAAAGACAAAAUCUUUCAAUGUAGAAAAUCUGAAAAAGUGAAAAAAAGUGAAAAUGAAA